GGUCCUCAAGUGUACACAGCGUGCCCCUGCACUACUCUAUGGUCAGCGCUACAAAAGACUACUUCGGCCACAAGCAUCAGCUGUUCCAGGAGCGACCACUACUGCUUCUACAUUGGCUCACCAGUGGCGUCCUGCUGGUAGACUGGACUUGUCUCCUCGCCCUGCAUUACUACUGGUUCUGCAUUCCUGUUUUCAACUGUGGUCCUCAAGUGUACACAGCGUGCCCCUGCACUACUCUAUGGUCAGCGCUACAAAAGAUUACUUCGGCCACAAGCAUCAGCUGUUCCAGGAGCGACCACUACUGCUUCUACAUUGGCUCACCAGUGGCGUCCUGCUGGUAGACUGGACUUGUCUCCUCGCCCUGCAUUACUACUGGUUCUGCAUUCCUGUUUUCAACUGUGGUCCUCAAGUGUACACAGCGUGCCCCUGCACUACUCUAUGGUCAGCGCUACAAAAGAUUACUUCGGCCACAAGCAUCAGCUGUUCCAGGAGCGACCACUACUGCUUCUACAUUGGCUCACCAGUGGCGUCCUGCUGGUAGACUGGACUUGUCUCCUCGCCCUGCAUUACUACUGGUUCUGCAUUCCCGUUUUCAACUGCGGUCCUCAAGCGUACACAGCGUGCCCCUGCACUACUCUAUGGUCAGCGCUACAAAAGAUUACUUCGGCCACAAGCAUCAGCUGUUCCAGGAGCGACCACUACUGCUUCUACAUUGGCUCGCCAGUGGCGUCCUGCUGGUAGACUGGACUUGUCUCCUCGCCCUGCAUUACUACUGGUUCUGCAUUCCCGUUUUCAACUGCGGUCCUCAAGCGUACCCAGCGUGCCCCUGCACUACUCUAUGGUCAGCGCUACAAAAGAUUACUUCGGCCACAAGCAUCAGCUGUUCCAGGAGCGACCACUACUGCUUCUACAUUGACUCGCCAGUGGCGUCCUGCUGGUAGACUGUACUUGUCUCCUCGCCCUGCAUUACUACUGGUUCUGCAUUCCAGUUUUCAACUGUGGUCCUCAAGUGUACACAGCGUGCCCCUGCACUAUUCUACGGUCAGCGCUACAAAAGAUUACUUCGGCCACAAGCAUCAGCUGUUCCAGGAGCGACCACUACUGCUUCUACAUUGGCUCGCCAGUGGCGUCCUGCUGGUAGACUGGACUUGUCUCCUCGCCCUGCAUUACUACUGGUUCUGCAUUCCUGUUUUCAACUGUGGUCCUCAAGUGUACACAGCGUGCCCCUGCACUACUCUAUGGUCAGCGCUACAAAAGAUUACUUCGGCCACAAGCAUCAGCUGUUCCAGGAGCGACCACUACUGCUUCUACAUUGGCUCACCAGUGGCGUCCUGCUGGUAGACUGGACUUGUCUCCUCGCCCUGCAUUACUACUGGUUCUGCAUUCCUGUUUUCAACUGUGGUCCUCAAGUGUACACAGCGUGCCCCUGCACUACUCUAUGGUCAGCGCUACAAAAGAUUACUUCGGCCACAAGCAUCAGCUGUUCCAGGAGCGACCACUACUGCUUCUACAUUGGCUCACCAGUGGCGUCCUGCUGGUAGACUGGACUUGUCUCCUCGCCCUGCAUUACUACUGGUUCUGCAUUCCCGUUUUCAACUGCGGUCCUCAAGCGUACACAGCGUGCCCCUGCACUACUCUAUGGUCAGCGCUACAAAAGAUUACUUCGGCCACAAGCAUCAGCUGUUCCAGGAGCGACCACUACUGCUUCUAUAUUGGCUCACCAGUGGCGUCCUGCUGGUAGACUGGAC